rnacentral:rRNA from 1 species
CAGGUCUUCGGACGCUGACGAGUGGCGAACGGGUGAGUAAUACAUCGGAACGUGCCCGAUCGUGGGGGAUAACGAGGCGAAAGCUUUGCUAAUACCGCAUACGAUCUACGGAUGAAAGCGGGGGAUCUUCGGACCUCGCGCGGACGGAGCGGCCGAUGGCAGAUUAGGUAGUUGGUGGGAUAAAAGCUUACCAAGCCGACGAUCUGUAGCUGGUCUGAGAGGAUGAUCAGCCACACUGGGACUGAGACACGGCCCAGACUCCUACGGGAGGCAGCAGUGGGGAAUUUUGGACAAUGGGCGAAAGCCUGAUCCAGCCAUGCCGCGUGCAGGAUGAAGGCCUUCGGGUUGUAAACUGCUUUUGUACGGAACGAAAAGCCUCUUUCUAAUAAAGAGGGGUCAUGACGGUACCGUAAGAAUAAGCACCGGCUAACUACGUGCCAGCAGCCGCGGUAAUACGUAGGGUGCAAGCGUUAAUCGGAAUUACUGGGCGUAAAGCGUGCGCAGGCGGUUUUGUAAGACAGAGGUGAAAUCCCCGGGCUCAACCUGGGAACUGCCUUUGUGACUGCAAGGCUGGAGUGCGGCAGAGGGGGAUGGAAUUCCGCGUGUAGCAGUGAAAUGCGUAGAUAUGCGGAGGAACACCGAUGGCGAAGGCAAUCCCCUGGGCCUGCACUGACGCUCAUGCACGA